GGAGUGUGCUGCUCACUGGAUGAAACCCUUCCAGCUUCCAGCAUCUGCACUGACUGAUGUCAGUUGCCUUUCUAUGGACAGACUCACGCAUACUGCAUCAUCUGAAUUCCUCACUGUUCAGAUGGGUAAAUCCAGAUGGGAGAGGUGCUUGCAUGGAAAUUUCCUGAAGCACUAUUAUGUCUGCUGCCUGUCAUCACAACUCUUUUCUGCCUCUCAAUAUUACCUGACAAAAAAUUAAAAGAAAAUCAGCACAGGGGAUCAAAAUUAACAGGUGAUUAAAUGAGAAAUCUGGAGUUUAGAAGAGUUCAAAAAUAAAUAUUUUUUCAAGACAGUUCCUAAGAAAGGUAAGAACCAGAAAUUUUAAUAAAAGAGUCAAUAAUAAGAAAGGCAGCUUGCAGAGAAGAGAAAAAGCUCCUUUGCUCACCCAGAUUCAAGGAUUUUCUCUCCCGGCUCAUUGGUUUGCUGACAAUGAGAAGAGAAUAGAGUAGCAAAGGAAAAGCAUCCACUGUCAUAAUGCAGAAAUGGACGCACCUUGUUAUUUAAACCAGCACAGGCCAUGGAUAAGUGGUAUCUGGACAGCAGACCCUGACCACAGCAGGCCAUGGUGCUGUGGCCUCCAUUCUGCACCUUCCCAAAAUGGUGUGCUGCUGUGUUCUGCAUGUAAAAAGGGACACAUGUGCACCUAUAAUAAGAUCAAGGCUCUUCUGUUCCAACCCUGGAAGCUGUCAACACAUGCCCCCGUGUCAGGAAGAAUGUGCAUUCCUGCCCAUCCAUGAGUUACCCGCUGCAAGGAAACCACCAGCCUAGAGCUCAGUCUUUGUUAUGCAUCGGCAAAGGUUUGAUCUGGGAAGCAGAAAACUGGGAGUUACAGGGAUGAAGGCAUUUAUCUUUGGGAUUACAGUUACUCUGUGGGGUACAAAAAAGAAGCCCGCUGCACCUGGCCUGGCGGUGGCUCUGAGGUCUCUGCAGUGCAGCACAGUUGGCCGCAGGAAGAAAACGUGAACCUGGAGCAAAAGAGCGUGGGGUCAAACUGGAUUCCAAAGGACAGAAUAAUAUCCCUUCCUGGUGCAUGGAGUUUUACAGAGCCUGGUGCCUUCACCCGUGAGCCGCACACAUGUCUGGCCUGGAACUUGGAGAAGCUAAAGGAGCUGGGAAAGGCAAGGCUAUGCGACAAGGAGGGGAGGAGCAGAUCAGGUUCAAGCACUCAGGCAAUCUCUCAGUAUGCUGAAACUUAUACGUUCUUCAGUCAAUGAAGAUUGACAAUGAGAUUAUACCUUCAUUCCAUGGAUAGCACUGGUAAUACUGGGCACGGCAGCAUUGGAAUCUGAGAUCUAUACAAGCCAUUUGAGAAAACAGCUACAUCGCUUUGUCCUCUGGACUAUCUGCUUCCAAGAAUAAACUGGGAAUGGGAAUCUAAUAGCUUCAGAGAGGUCAAUGAUUAUGAAACCACAGACUUUCCUGAAUAAUCUUCUCUUCAAAUUUUUAUUUCACCUUUAGGAAAUUUUGAUUCCUUUAAAAUAUUCAGAGAAAUUCACUUUCUAACCAACCUUGGUAGCCUUCUCCUCACUUAAAGACAUAGGUUUCAUUUUGUUGUUAUUGUUGUUACUAUUGUUGUUUGUUUGGAUUUUUUAUUAUUAUGCAAGGAAGAAUUUAGUUUUUGUACCAGUUGUUUCUGAAUUUUGAGCUGCUUCUAUGCUGGCUCUGGUGCUCAGAUUGCCACUGCAGUUAAAAAAUACAUUCUGAGAGCUCACUGUAAUCUCAAAGCUGUGUUUUUAGCAGAAACUCCUGACUUGUCAUGGAUAAUGAACUACUACAAAUACUUUUCUACAUUUAAAAAAUUUCAAUACUACAACCUGUGAUUUUUUUAUGAUCAAAUAGAUGAAUUAAGGGGGAAAAUCCUUAGGAAAACAAUUUAUCAUAUUAAAUUUGUUCAAUUUUGGUGUUUCCAAAACUUUCCACCAUUCUGAAAUCUCAUUUGUAUUAAGAGGCUUAAAAGCUUUCUCUAGGAUGUAUUUCCAAUAUCAACGUAAGGCAUAAUCUGCAUAGCCCUUUCCAUCUCUUCUCUACUCAUAGCCAAAGUUUGAAGUGACUUGGUUCAAGCCAAGGUUCAAACCAUGUAUGGAUACCUCUGAGAUUAUUAACAAAAUAAUCUGUUCCUCUUUAAAUUGCAUAUUUCAGGUAUUUUUUUAAGGGAUUGGAAAGCUAACCAAAUGGAAAAUUGGUACUAGAGAAGUACAAUUUUUGCUGUAACUGUAUUUAACCACAUUGUUCAGAAGUCUUCAGAACUGGUUUGUAGGAGAAACUCAGAAGGCUUUUGAAAUUCUGGUAAGAGAAGAUCUAGAUUCCUUGGAACAGAUUGGUGGGCAAUUUUGGUCAGAUCUCUGAUAGGAAUGUGGACAAUAAAGGCCAGGUUCAUGAGGUUUUAGGUGGGAAGGAAGAAUUUAUUAAGCAUUGACCUGAAGGCCAUGUGCAUUUCAUUCCAGCAAAAAAAAAAAAAAAAAAAGUGAAAUUUUACAUUUCGGCCCUACCGUAAAUAUGGUGUGAAGCUGAGUUUAAAGGUGAUGAACUAAUUAAACAGGUCAAUAUAUAUAUAUAUAUAUAUAUAUAUAUAUAUAUAGCUUGAAGUCUGUGGCAUGAGCACGAGUGACCAUAUUUAGUCAAAUUAUAGUGAGAACACACAAAAAAAGCAGAAAGAUUUACAAAAUAUUCUGUUUCCUCAAACAUGAAGUACAUGUAAAAUCAGGACAAAAGGAAGUUUGAAUGAUGAAGAAAUUUACACCAUUAAACAGAAACCAAACACUAGACAUGUUUGCACAUAACUGUAAUUCUAAUGCUCAGGAGGCUGAGGCAAAAGAUUAUGAACUCAAGACCAACCAGGACAAUUUAGCAAGACCUUAUCUCAAAAGUAAAAAACAAAAAUAAAAACAAAAGCAAUGAAAGAAAAAAAAAGAAAGAAACUAAGCAUUUUGUACAAGGACACAAAGAAUGAUGCUUUGAGAGUCUCUCAGGAAUCAAUAAGACCUUACUUUUUGAAGGCUAAAGGGUGCAAAAAUGUUAACAUUUUAUUUGAGAAGAGAGCCAUGAGCCCAUACUUGAGAAGGCCAGUUAGGUUAUUGAUUCCCUGUGAUUCCUUUCACUGUGCUCAUUCAUGGGCCAGUGCAGCCAUCUCCAAGGUGACCUGACUGACUAUUGAUCAAGCUUGUGACGUAUCUUAACACCAAGUCAACGUGACACUGGCAUUUUUGGUAUGCAGAAUGUAAGAUUAUGGGGUCAAUGAGACUUUCACCCAGAUUUCAAAGGAAGAUCUAGGAGAUCAGAAAAUGUGCACCAGUUAGAGCUCUCAGUGGAGUUAAAUAUUGGCUGAGGAAAGCUGCUGGCAGUGAGUGAAGCCAGCCCAAGAGAGAUGCCAUAUGGGUUAUAAUCACCAAGGCUAUAGUGGUGGAGCUGCCUUACUUGUUUGAAAUUCACAUCUCACCACCACGUGCCAUGUGCACUGGAUAAGGAGCUGUGUGGUUUAAUGUUUAUUCUGCUGAACUUCAGUCUUAUUUUGAACGAUUUCCUUCUAGCUUUGCAUUCCUCCCUUUUGAAAUGGGAAUGAUUAUGCUGUGCUAUUUUAUCUUUUUUAUCUUGGGAUUAUCUAUCUUGGUUUUUUAAUUUUAGACUGGUUUAUAGUCAAGAAAUACCUUAAGUCUCAGAGGAGAAUUUGGGCAAGACUUUUGAUGGAACUGUUGCACUUUUGGGGAAGGUGUUAGUACAUUUUUUUGUUAUAUGCAGGAUAAUUACAAUAGGCAGAAUGGUACCUUCUGAUUUGGUUUAAGGAGAUGUGUUUUGGUGUCAAGCUGACAAGGUGUUGAAAGUGAUGAUUAAUCUUGUUUGUCAGCAUGAUCAGCUUGAGAGAUGCUUAGCAGAUUGGUAAAGCACACAUCUGGGACAUCUGGUGGGCCAUGGAGUCCUAACCACGGGGACUAUACCCAGUCCCUCAUCCUUUCUUCUCAUGCAAUCUGCCCUGAUCUUUGCUUCUCAGCUGACAUGAGCCGAACAGAUUUUUUCCACCCUACCUUUCUGCAGUGAUGUUUGUGCCUUGUAACUAGCUGACCGUGGACUGAGACUCCCCACAUUCUGAGCCAAAUAAACCUCUCCUCCUUUAAACAAUAGGUGUCAAGUAUUCUGUUCCAAAAAUGGGGAAGCUGAACAAGAUAGAACCAAACCACUGAGAAUUCUGCUUAGAACGAUAUUAAAAUUAGAUCAUAUUCUUUUGCAAAUAAUGCUAUGGAAAUGUUGUUUAAGGAGAUAUAAUAUUGAAACUUUAGUUGUUUUCUCUUAUGUAGAUCCACUGGAUAGUACCACAGAGGCUUAGUUUUUCAUAGUUUGUGAAUUGUUUAUAUGUAAUUAUUUACAAUUAACUUCCUUCAGCCAAUCAACAGACCAUAAACCAAUUUAAGCAGUUAUGAACAAAGCGCUGUGAUGAGAAUUUGCCCUUACAUUAAUUGUUAAUCAUUAAAAGCCCAAGCUCAGGGAAUUACAGUACCUAUAUUUGAGUUUCUCAUUUAUUACUGCAUUAAUAUAUUAAAAUAAGACUUCUCGAUCAGUAAUCGCAGAAUAUUAAAUGUUUUAAAUCAUCCCUAUCAGAAUUCUCAAGAUGGUUCUAACAAUGCAGCAAACACUCAAAUAGAUUGUGGAAUUUAUUUAACAACUCAGUAAACCUGGGUCCCCAAAAGCAAGGAUCAUGUGCUUUUGUUUCUUCACCCCCAGUAUGGAUAACUGCAUUCUGUACAUAUAUCUAGUUGAAUUCUAUAGCUAAAAAAUCCUAUCAAGGAAAUAUGAUUAUUUUGAUUAGGUCUACAUCUGGUAGACAUUGACUAGAAGAAAAUUAAAUCAUGGUAGAGUAGAAAAAUAUGAACUUUGGAGGCUGAAGCAGAAAUUUAACACAAUGUGAGAACCCCUGAUAAAACAAGGAAAAAAUGUUAAAGGCAGCUGAUAAUGCAAGUCUAUUGAUCAGUUAAAGUGAGCACUGCAAAAGGUGGAAUGUGAAAGCUUCAAGAUUCUGAAUACCUAAGAGGGAGUUUCAGGAUUUUUUUUAUAAAAGGCCAGGAAAGUGGAGAGAAAUACACCUUGCAGUGUCACUGGAGUGCAUAGGAUACAAGACAGACAGGAAGUCUAGUAAAAACAGCUGGAGGGGACUUGAGCUCUUUGGAGCUGGUGGUAGAGCGGAUAGCACUUAGAAGGUUGGAAAUUGAAAGCCAUGGAAGCUGAUGGAUGGAGCCCGUCAGCGGGAAGCUGCACUCAAAACAGCACCAAAUGGCACCAACUGUGCAUUAAAUAUAAAGUCUAUCAGAAAAAAAAAAUGGCCAGGGAUGUAGCUUAGCCUGGCAAGUGUGAGUAGUCAGAAAGGGAGUGGGGAGGAUGAUCUAUGACCCCAAGAGGCAAAGAUCUGUAGUGACUCAACUGCGAAUUCUCUCAGCAUAGACCUGGGCACUCCGUAGGAGUGGAACAUAUUUAUGGCACAGUGGUUGAUCUUAAAAGCAUCUAAGUUACACAGAG